rnacentral:tRNA from 1 species
UACCCGGUGGUGUAAUCGGCAACACUACGGAUUUUGGUUCCGUUAUUCUAGGUUCAAGUCCUAGCCGGGUAG